AUCCAGUCGAUGAGUCCUAAAUAGGACGAAACGUAUGUUUUAGAU
rfam:Schistosoma haematobium scaffold808_8, whole genome shotgun sequence.